AUUGAACGCUGGCGGAAUGCUUUACACAUGCAAGUCGAACGGUAGAGGGGGCAACCCCUCGAGAGUGGCGAACGGGUGAGUAAUAUAUCGGAACGUGCCCAGUCGUGGGGGAUAAUGUAGCGAAAGUUACGCUAAUACCGUAUACGAUCUAAGGAUGAAAGCGGGGGAUCGCAAGACCUCGCGCGAUUGGAGCGGCCGAGAUCAGAUUAGGUAGUUGGUGGGGUAAAGGCUCACCAAGCCAACCAUCUGUAGCUGGUCUGAGAGGACGACCAGCCACACUGGAACUGAGACACGGUCCAGACUCCUACGGGAGGCAGCAGUGGGGAAUUUUGGACAAUGGACGCAAGUCUGAUCCAGCCAUUCCGCGUGCAGGAUGAAGGCCCUCGGGUUGUAAACUGCUUUUGAACGGAACGAAAAGGUCUCUCUUAAUACGGGGGGCUCAUGACGGUACCGUAAGAAUAAGCACCGGCUAACUACGUGCCAGCCGCCGCCGUAA
rnacentral:rRNA from 1 species